GUGCACCCCAAUGGGCUGUGGGUGUACCCCUAUUGGCUGUGAGUAUACCCCAAUGGGCUGUGAGUGCACCCCUAUUAGCUGUGGGUGUACCCCAGUGAGCUGUGAGUGCACCGCAAUGGGCUGUGGGUGUACCCCAAUAGGCUGUGGGUGUACCCCAGUGAGCUGUGAGUGCACCCCUAUGGGCUGUGAGUGAACCUCUAUUAGCUAUGGGGUGUACCCCUAUGGGCUGUGGGUGGACCCCUAUGGGCUGUGGGUGCACCCCUAUGGGCUGUGAGUGGACCCCUAUUGGCUGUGAGUGCACCCCAAUGGGCUGUGGGUGGACCCCUAUGGGCUGUGAGUGUACUCCUAUGGGCUGUGAGUGCACCCCAAUGGGCUGUGGGUGGACCCCUAUGGGCUGUGGGUGUUCCCCUAUUAGCUGUGAGUGUACCCCCAUGGGCUGCGGGUGUACCCCAAUGGGCUGCGGGUGUACCCCAAUGGGCUGCGGGUGUACCCCAAUGGGCUGUGAGUGCACCCCAAUGGGCUGUGGGUGUUCCCCUAUUAGCUGUGAGUGCACCCCAAUGGGCUGUGGGUGGACCCCUAUUGGCUGUGAGUGCACCCCAAUGGGCUGUGGGUGUACCCCAAUGGGCUGUGGGUGUACCCCAAUGGGCUGUGAGUGCACCCUAAUGGGCUGUAAGGUGUACCCCAAUGAGCUGCGGGGUGUACCUCUAUUAGUGGGGUGUACCCCAAUGAGCUGCAGGCUGUACCCUGGUUAGUUGUCAGGGUGUACCCCAUUUAGCCGUGGGUUGCACCCCAGUUAGCUCCCCGUUGUACCCCAAUGAGCUGCAGGCUGUACCCGUUAGCUGUAAGGUGUACCCCAAUGAGCUGCGGGGUGUACUUUUAUUAGCUGUGGGGCGUACCCCAAUGAGCUGCGGGGUGUACCCCAAUGAGCCUCAGGGUGUACCCCAAUGAGCCUCAGGGUGUACCCCGGUGAGCUGUAGGAGUGUACCUCGGUUGGCUGUGGGGUACCCCAAUGAGCUGCGGGGCGUACCCCAUUGAACUGCAGGGUGUACCCCAUGAGCUGCGGUGUACCCCAUUGAGCUGCGGGGCGUACCCAAA
ensembl:lncRNA